rnacentral:tRNA from 1 species
AUUUAAAUAGUUUAAUAAAAAUAUUAAUUUGUGGAAUUAAAGAUAUUUGAUAGUUUUAAAUA